UACAGGGGGUGCAAACGUUGCUCGGAAUCAUUGGGCGUAAAGCGCACGUAGGCGGUUCGUUAUGUCGGAUGUGAAAGCCCUUGGCUUAACCGAGGAAGUGCAUCCGAAACUGGCGAGCUAGAGUACUAAAGAGGAUCGCGGAAUUCCCGGUGUAGAGGUGAAAUUCGUAGAUAUUCGGAAGAACACCAGUGGCGAAGGCGGCUCACUGGACUGGUAUUGACGCUGAGGUGCGAAAGCGUGGGGAGCAAACAGGG
rnacentral:rRNA from 1 species